GACAGAGGAUGCAAGCGUUAUCCGGAAUGAUUGGGCGUAAAGCGUCUGUAGGUGGCUUUUUACGUCUGCCCUCAAAUCCCAGGGCUUAACCCUGGACAGGCGGUGGAAACUACCAAGCUGGAGUACGGUAGGGGCAGGGGGAAUUUCCGGUGGAGCGGUGAAAUGCGUAGAGAUCGGAAAGAACACCAACGGCGAAAGCACUCUGCUGGGCCGACACUGACACUGAGAGACGAAAGCUAGGGGAGCGAAUGGG
rnacentral:rRNA from 1 species